ensembl:lncRNA
ACAGUAGUCCCUGUUCCUUUUUCUUUCUUUUUGUUUUUUAAUGUGUUUCAAUUAAACUGGAAGCAGAUAACUUUUAGGGGAGAGUGACUAAAAGCUUUUUAGUUUUUUAAGAACUGAAAUUACUUCAGGAAAUGGUAGGGAAGAAACACGAAAAGUUUACCUCAGUCUUCCAGAAUUGUCAGAUAAAGGUAAAGAUAUUUUAAAAAAUUUAGAAAAUGAUUAAGCUGUGAACUUCCAGUAGCCAAAUUGAAAUUAAUCUCGUAGGUGGGGCAAAAGUGGUUAUCAUAUUCUACAAACAUGUGAAAAGUGGGAUAUCAAUUUUAUCUUCCAUCUGAGGUAAAAAGGAGGUUGAGAGAGGAAAGAGCAUUCUUUUAAACCAACAGUUGCAAAAUCCUUUAAAAAUUAAACCAAAGGAAACAGCCUAAAAAAGCCGGAUUUGGGGGAAGGGGAAAUUGAAAUACAGUCAACUUUCUCUGGUUUAAUGAUUUGACAGUUAGCCAUUUAGGACCAAGGUCCUAAAAUUCAAUGUUAGGACCAAAUUCCAGACAUGUGGGAGCAAAAAAGAAAGCGGAAUAAGAAGACCUGAAGCUGAGGAGGCUCACCAUCCAAAAUGAAGGACUAGCGCUUAUCGCAAACCCUUUGUCUGAAUUCUGGAUCUCUGAAGACAUGGUUAUUUAACAACAACUGUGAUGUCAGAGGGCUUUAGCUUUAGAAGAAAAUGCCAGGAUAAUGCACCUUAAGACAAAUGAUGAUUUUCAGGCAGCCAUUUCAACAAAACCAACGAGUGUCAUUGAGGAGCUGUCAUCAAAGACAAUGAAGAGUGUCCUGAAAAAGUUCAGCUCUCUUCAUUUGAACAUGUUUAAUGUAUGAUGAUACAUUAUUCACUCAAUACUCUUGAUUUCACUUUCAAAAGCAGGAAGAUUAAUUCACAUCAAAACUAAUGUGCACCCCCAAAAUCCAUCCUCUUUAAGUUUUUGCAUAGACCAACCCUCAUUUUUAAAAAAAAGAAAAAAAAGAGCAGAUGUAAUUUCAAAAAUAGGACCAUGGCUAAUUAAACAAGUGUUUUUUCCUAACCAUGGUUACUCAGAAUUCUUAGAGGCUAGUCUAUUUGUAGACACUCCAGGAAUCCCAAAAGGCUAAAGGCAAUUAAAAAAGGAAAAAGUGUGUGGUGUGAUGCUUCCAGGAGGGCAUUAUUUACACACCUUGUGUGCAAAGUAACGACUUUCCCAUAGGUUUGAAAAAACUGAGAGGGGUGUGACAAAAUAGUAGGGAACACAGCAACAUUAUUUGAAAAGCUUUUAAAUGAGCCAUUUC